rnacentral:rRNA from 1 species
UACGAGGGGUGCAAGCGUUGCUCGGAAUCAUUGGGCGUAAAGGGUAGGUAGGUGGUCUCAUUUGUCAGGGUGAAGCCUUGGGCUUAACCCGAGAAGUGCCCCUGAAACGGUGAGACUCGAGUUCUGGAGAGGGUCGUGGAAUUCCGGUGUAGCGGUGAAAUGCGUAGAGAUCGGGAGGAACACCAGAGGCGAAGGCGGCGACCUGGACAGAUACUGACACUCAACUACGAAAGCGUGGGGAGCAAACAGG